rnacentral:tRNA from 1 species
GGGUCUUUAGCUCAGCAGUAGAGCGGCAGACUUCGGUUUCCAAACUGGAGCACUCCUUCGCGGGUGUCUUCUGCAGGUCGCGGGUUCAAUCCCCGUAGGACUCU